rnacentral:rRNA from 1 species
UACGUAGGGGGCAAGCGUUGUCCGGAAUCAUUGGGCGUAAAGCGCGUGUAGGCGGCUCGAUAAGUCUGCUGUGAAAGUCCAGGGCUCAACCCUGGAAUGCCGGUGGAAACUGUCGAGCUAGAGUCCGGAAGAGGCGAGUGGAAUUCCUGGUGUAGCGGUGAAAUGCGCAGAUAUCAGGAGGAACACCAAUGGCGAAGGCAGCUCGCUGGGACGGCACUGACGCUGAGACGCGAAAGCGUGGGGAGCAAACAGG